AACUCUCGCAGCGAUGGCGAGAGAGCUGGAUUUUGCAUGUUGCGGCGCUUCCUUCGCCCUCAAGCUCAAGGUCUCUCCCUCUCGCCCUCUCCCUGAUCUCACAAGACCAGGCUUCAUGGAAUAGCUUCCUUGUUUCGUGCUCCCUUGCGGGUUGAGACACAAUGAUGAUGCCGUGUGAGGGAGAGAGAAAGCCAUUUGCGUGACCCUCACUGCGUCAAUGCAGCGCCGCGACGAACACGAAGCAGCAGCACCAGCAGCUGAAAUUGAUAUUUUUCCUGCCGUUCGUUUUUUCGAGUUGCAUCACAAUCACAGAUGGGUUUUGCGGUUUUGAUCGGUGCGGAGAUGGUGUUGGUGUUGAUGGGCAGCGACCCAUCCGACACCGAAGCUUCCAAACCUUGACUCUCCAUUUCAAGCAAAAAAGGGGAAUCGGGUUCGUGCGUCUUUCUGUGAUGCUUCAACGUGGCCGGCGUUGGUGAGCGAGUUGGUGGACUAUCUCGGGAUUUGAUUAUCUUGGUGGACUACCUCGAUCUGCCAUGGAUCAGCAGAUUGUUCUACUGUCUUUAACCGUGUGUUCUGGUCAUUGUUUUGCUUUCAUUUGGUUAAUGGAGACUCUUUUAUAGAAAAUGUAUUAUCGAUGUUUUGAAUGCAAUGAAGCGGGCGUGUUUCAUUUUUUAAUUUUUUUUUCAAAUAUUUGUGUUGGUUCUAGCUUUGAGUGGAUAGUUUGAAUUUUAGUCCCCCGUCUAGGAGUUGGUAAUACUUUCAAAUGUUAUAAGUCGAACUUUUUUUUGAGGUCCAGACGACAUUGGAUCAACCAUGCAAUUGUAGACUUUUAUACGUGAUUGAAGGGCCUCGAAAGGGUGAAUGGUAUUGAAUUAAUGUCAUGCUUUGUCUCGUAGAGUGUGGUUUUGAAUGGGUGUAAGAGAGAUCUACAUGCUCAAUUGCUUACAUACAGUGCACCGAGACUAUACCUUGUUAAGGUUUUGUGGAAACAGAAGCUCGGGUUUAGAGCUGCUGUUUAUCGUGUUAUUGGUGCACCCAUCAGAGGGCUUUAUUGAACCUUCUUUAGCUGGCCGAAAGUAGUAAGGACGCUAAAUUUGUUACUUCGUGACUGCGUGAUGAAAUUGAGAUACUCUAUGACCUAUUGUUAUCGUUGCUCUGAAAGUUUCCUUCCAUGUUUGGUAGCCAACAAUAUUGAAGAAAAUGCUCCUAAGGAUGGAAGCAUCAGAAUUGGCACAAGAAGUAAAGAGUUGUGUUGAAAGUAAGGUCGAGAAAUUACGUCAACAUUUGCAGGCACAGAGAGGACCGAAGACGAUCGAUGAAACGCGGAGGUGCUUGGACAUUCACCCCUCCUUGAAUUCAUCGACUUCAGGUCUGACAAUACUGAGGAAAGCGGCCAUUUCGCAGAAGACAAAAAUGAAGACUCAAAGCUCAGGCGAUGUGCUUUGCAUGGGAUGGUAAACUGACCCAGGGAUUGACUGUGUUAGACCCUGUGGAAUCAAUGACGUGUUUGAUACGUGUUUGGUGACACUAUCCUUUGGUAAACUGACCAUUGAAGUCGUCGAGGAUAUUUGAAAUAGUUUAUUUUCCUGAUGUAUGGCAAGAAUUUAUGGACCAUGUGAGGCGAUUGAUGGAAAAAAACAACUGGUUUUAGCAGUUUUCCAAAUCCAGGCAUGCGAGUAGAGGACGGUUUUCAAGGAGCCCCACUAAUCAUAGAUGCCUCUGCCUGCACACGUGGAUUGAUUCGGUGAUGAAGUCUGAUGUGGAGUUCACAACACCACCACCUGAUUGCGCCAUCAAUGUCGUGGGAGUCACGAGUGAUGAUCGAUCGGAGGAGCUAUCACUGUAGACAAAUUUCAAGGAUGCAGUGCGAAUCUCUGCAACAUCAAUGUCACGAUUGUUGCUUUGGGUUGUAAUACUGUCAUCUGCACAUCCACCAGCUUCCGGAAUAUGGCAGGGGCGUGGUUGGAUGUUGAAAGUGUGUGGAUCCCCUCCUCACAUUGCUACAGUGCCUGCUUGUGAUCGUAGUCUCGUAUAUGCUUCGCACAUCCCCUCCUGAAUAUCAUCGAUCAUGGACACGGAAAUGACACAUGUUAACCCUAUCUUUCAGGAAGGUUUAUUCUCAACGCUCCUGGAAUUCUCACCAGACGUUGAAUAGUUUUUUACAGUGUACCUUGGGCGUGAGGCCUAGAUCAAAUUGCUACCAGCAGUUGAAGAAGGAGGGGAAUGAGGGGGAAAUGAAUAAGAAUACUAACUAAGCUUGUGAUGCAAUAGCUUCGCAAACAAGGAAAACAGACUGAAGUCCGAUGGAAACUUAACCUAAAGGACUGGCUUACAAAUCAGUGGGGUUACAAAAUUUGUAACGUAUUUGAGAUUUGUCUUCAAUUUUUUUUUCCCCCCUUAAAUAAUGAUUUAGGCAUAUUUG